GCCUGGGUGGCUCAGUCGAUUGAGCAUCCGACUUCAACCUAUGAUCUUGCAAUUUGUGGGUUCAAGCCCCAUCUCAGGGC
rnacentral:tRNA from 1 species